UGGAAGACUAAUGAAUUUUGUUGUU
rnacentral:miRNA from 3 species